rnacentral:tRNA from 1 species
CAGACCAUAAAAAGUCUUUUAAA